AAGCAAACAUCCAGAGGCAAAUGAAUCGGAACUGAAAGGUGAUGUUGAAAUAUCUAAGGCUGUAAUGAGGCAAAAACAAGUCUUCGCUACCAGAUGAUAUGGCAUACCGAGCAUUUACAUACUCACAUCUGAAAUACUAGGCAACGUGUAAUGAAUUCUAUACACAGCAUGCACACACAGCAAAAGCACGGCUAAUCCUGCCUGCCAUCUUAGGCUCGCAGAAGCAAGAUACGCACUGCAUGCAGACACGAGCACUGGGGAAGGAGGAGGCAGGGGACAGCUCACCUUAAAUGCAGUAUCUGAUUAAUGUUGUAAGUGACAUUGCAUAUCAGCCUCAGAGUCUUGGUUCAACUGGGUAGGAGGGAACAAAGAAAAAUGUCAUCAACUGGUGAUGCAAGAUGAGCCCAAUCACUAAACACUGUUUAGCAAACUCCAAAUUCUGCAACCAGACAGUAGAAGGCAUUUCGUACACUUAAGCAGAGCUGCUGCACAAUGCAUGUGUCCUUUUGCUUCUGAGAAUCAAACAAUCCUUUUGCUAAUGAAGAAAAUAAGCCGGAAUGAAUACUGUCAUAUCUUCUUCUUGAAGAAAGCUUUCAAUACAGAUCUGUGUAAGAUGUGGGAACGGAGUACAUACUUGAUGGCAAAGAUGAGGCAGCAAACCAUGGGGACCAAACUGAGGUUAUCUUCUAGGAAAGACCUAGGGGAGACGGGAAAUGUGAACCAUGCAGUUUUCAACAGAGAAAAACUGAUAAAGACAUGGCUCAGAAAGGCCAUAACCAUGCACCUCAUCUCACCAGAGCAGCUUUAACAAACCUCAGUGAAUCUUCACUUCCUUCGGACUGAAGAUAAAGGCAGAAUAAGUUUUUGUUGAUUGAAUUAUCUACCUUUAAUCACGUCUCUGGCUUGCUUCCUGCAAGAUCUGUGUAUCUCCCGCGGCACCCAGAGCGUUGUCUGAUGCAGUGAAGGGGGCUCAUAUGGGUAUGCUCUUCACUGACCAACACCAACUUGGGAGUUCCCUCUCUGCUCCCAUCACUACCAGUGGAAUCUUUAGCUUUGUCUCAUGAAGCCAUUUCCCAAAAUAGGGGAACUUGCUCCAUGAAUUAAGGAAUGGACCUAGGGGCUAAAAAUAUCUAUGGAAGUCUUUCAAGUACUUAAUCACUUGUUUCCCAAAGGGAGUCACAAAUUGUCUGGCAAGCAGACCACAGGCUUUGUUUAAAUCUGUCCCUCCCAGAACAGAAAAAGGGAGACAGAAAUAAGAAUGGUCUGACAGCAAUACCAUUGCCUCCAAAUUGUGCCUCAACCUUUCCUGGGCCCUCAGCGUCAGAACAUGUUUCGUAGAACUAUAGCAUGGGCAAGGCAGUCUGCAAGAUGCCAUCUCAACCCUCUCUUUGAGGUGGAAAAAAAAUCACGUUCAAAGAGAGUAUUAUAUCUGAAGACCUCGGCAAACAGGAUAAAAGCCCUAUUCCUUAAUUUCUAGUACUCUGCCCUUUGUAAUGCAACAUACUGGCUCAAUUAAAGUUCCAGGCUUUCAUUUAAAUAGGUACUUAUUGGGGCGCCUGGGUGGCUCAGUCGGUUGAGCGUCCAACUUUGGCUUAUCUCAUGGUUCAGGGGUUUGGGCCCUGUAUUGGGCUCUGUGCAGACAGCUCAGAGCCUGGAGCCUGCUGCGGAUUCUGUGUCUUCCUCUCUCUCUGCCUUACCCUGCUUGCACUAUGUCUCUCUCUCAAAAAAUAAGCAAACAUUAAAAAAAUUAAGAAAUAAAUAAAUAGGUACUUAUUAAAUGGUUAUAGAAAAGCAAGUUAAUGAAGAGAUUCUGGUAAGACAGCUAUAACUUAUUUCUCAAUUCCUCUCACAAGAAAAUGUUAUAGUAUACUUGUUUAAUUUUUUUUAAAGCUCAACUAAAUAUAAUUUUAAGCAAAAUAGUAAAUGUCAGCCAAAAUAUCACCUGAGACCAAGGGUCACUUCAGAAGUAUCAGAGAAGUAGGUUUGAUUGCCAUUUAAGUCAAUCAGAUUAAGUUUAGCCAGCUGAAGUAGGCUUUAUCCUAUUUGGUUUGCAAAAAAGAAAUCUCAUGAGUUAGCAUGAGCAGCUAAAAAUAAGUUGCAGGUUUCAUUUUCCGUUGUUCAGUAUGGUUUUGAAACCAAAAGGUGCAGAGCUAGGAGAUUCACCAACGCCUACUGAAAAUCAACAAUUCAAACUGACACCUUUCUAGCACACUGCCCUGAACUAUGGAACAAAGCCAGGCCCAAGAAAGGUGCACCUAUGUCCCUCUCACCAUGGUCCCUGGAGAUGAAUCUCCAUAAUAACACACGGCAGGAAGUUGGGGGCUGAGGCUCAUCCUAAGGGACAGUGGCUUAUGCCUGAGUGUAUUGUCAUAUCUGGACAGGAUGCCACAUAAUCCGUCCCAUAUGCUCAGCUUCAAUCUUAGGUGAUGUUGGGGACCCCUCAGCAAAGCAAGGGAGUAAAUAAUGCUAGCAUUUCAUUAAGAUGGGGACCUGAAGGUAGUGAGCUCAGCAAGUACCCCUUGACCUAAAUGCCCAUGGCCUUGUGCAAUUCCAUUCUGUAAACCCAAGCAGCUCAUGAGAAGUUUAAUUUCAAAAUUGCCUUUCCAGGGCCAAAUCUGGCAAAAAGGUGUUUGACAGAGGCAUACAUCUUCAAAGGGAAGAUGGCCAUCUCACGCUGCAGCAUUCAGCUGUGGCACAAGGCUCAGAGAGAGCAGUGUAGCUAUAAGAAAGCCCUCAGCUGAAUGAGAUUGAAAGGGGGCAAAGAAGGGUUAAUCUCCUUCCAUUAGAGGAGGUCCCAUUUGGUGAAGGUGAAGAGAAUAAUCUGUAUGAAGAGCAGAGAAGACAAAGAGCCAUUCCAGAAAAGAAAUCACCGUGCAGGGGCAAGAAGGAUGAUUUGUCCUAGAUUUUCAUCGUGAGACUAUUUCUUAGAUCUCUGAGUCUUUACCUCGCUUUGAAGUUACAAGUCUCAGGGAGGGGAAAGGGGGCAUAUUCACACUCUCUGUGCUGGAAUACUUGAGCUUUAUUCCAUCUGAGAUGGGCUGUCUCUGAAAAGCAGAGGGCGAGGCCUUAGAAGGCUACCCGUAAAUCAGAAAGUGGCAAAAUAAACAAUAGGAGUUGUUCGUAAAAGAGAGGCCAGUGGCUGAAUCCCCCUUUUCUGGGGUGGGGAACACCCUCCCCCCCCUUUUUUUUAGCUUCAAAAUAGUUUUUAGAAAUUGCUUUUAACAACAUUUUUGGAAAUAGAUUAAGAAUCACAAAACAUGGAAAAAAUAGUAGAGUAACUAAAUAACUUCAUCUGGCUUCCCCCAAUGAUAAUACCAUCCACUAGCCUAGCACACUGUCUAAACCAAGAAGCUGACAUUGGUAUAAUACUAUUGACUCAGGCAAGGACCUUAUUUGGAUUUCACCAGUUUUUGUAUGGGUGUGUGUGUGUGUGUGUGUGUGUUUCUAUGAAAUUUUAUCACAUGUUAUUGAUUGGAAUAGCCAUCAUCACAACCAAGAUACAGAACUAUUCCAUCACCACACAAAAAAACCUCCCCCCCAAAAAAACAACCCGUGCUAACCUUCUUAGAAUCACACUUUCUUAGGUCAUUAAGUCAUUUAUGCUUUCUUCCAACCUCUGGCACUGAUCUAUUCUCAAUCACUACAAUUUUGUCUCUUUGAGUUUGUUAUAAAUGGAGCCAUAUAGUAUAUAACCCUUUGAGAUUGGCAUUCUUUAACCCAGCAUAAUGCCCUUAGAUCCAUUUAAGUUGUAUGUAAAGAGUGUGUGCCUUUCCAUUGCUGAAUAGUUUUCCAUGGUAUGGAUGUACCACGGUUUUGUUAUCCAUUUUCCCCUUGAAGGACGUCUGGCUGGUUUCCUGUUUUAAGCUAUCAGAAAUAAAACUGCCAUGAAUAUUGAUA